GAUGCAUAGCCGACCUGAGAGGGUGAUCGGCCACACUGGAACUGAGACACGGUCCAGACUCCUACGGGAGGCAGCAGUAGGGAAUCUUCCGCAAUGGGCGAAAGCCUGACGGAGCAACGCCGCGUGAGUGAUGAAGGUCUUCGGAUCGUAAAACUCUGUUAUUAGGGAAGAACAUAUGUGUAAGUAACUGUGCACAUCUUGACGGUACCUAAUCAGAAAGCCACGGCUAACUACGUGCCAGCAGCCGCGGUAAUACGUAGGUGGCAAGCGUUAUCCGGAAUUAUUGGGCGUAAAGCGCGCGUAGGCGGUUUUUUAAGUCUGAUGUGAAAGCCCACGGCUCAACCGUGGAGGGUCAUUGGAAACUGGAAAACUUGAGUGCAGAAGAGGAAAGUGGAAUUCCAUGUGUAGCGGUGAAAUGCGCAGAGAUAUGGAGGAACACCAGUGGCGAAGGCGACUUUCUGGUCUGUAACUGACGCUGAUGUGCGAAAGCGUGGGGAUCAAACAGGAUUAGAUACCCUGGUAGUCCACGCCGUAAACGAUGAGUGCUAAGUGUUAGGG
rnacentral:rRNA from 1 species